AUAAAAUCUAAAAGUAAUAUAAGCAUGAUCAUGAACCUGGGUUUCCCAGGGUGACUUAUCCAUUGCACUCUAGAUGUGAUCUCCCUGUGAUUUCCCCAAAUGUGGGAAACUCAACUUUGGUGUGGGGGACUGUGUUGGCACUCUCCCCUG
rnacentral:snRNA from 1 species